rnacentral:lncRNA from 1 species
GGGGAUUUGGAUUUAACACAGUUAUUGUGUGGUCGUAGUAACUGUUUAUGGCCAUCCGAUCAAAAUGGAUGACUAAGAUUAAAUAACGUAAAAUCUGACUGUUUGUACAACAAUCGUCCGAUAAAAAAAUCUUUGGCCAAGAUAUUUUACUGCGUGAAGCAGUUACUUUAGUGAAUAUGAAUCCAGGUCCAGAUAAUGGCACGUCUGGAGGGUCUAGUGUAGCCGCCGCCAGCUGGGAAGACGAACUCGCUGCUGGGAAGAUGGUUUUAUUCCCUGUUGUGCAUUGUAUAUUGAUGCUAUCCAAUAGACAGUCAUAUGAUGAAGAUGAACCCUAGUUCAUGUUACUGAAUUUGAUGUUUCUUAAAGAUGAUACAAAUAGAAAAGCAGUGCCAGUUCUUAUAUGCAUGAUUCCUUUUAUUGGUCGUGGCACUGGCAAACACUUUCCUACACUUACAUGGCAGAUUGAUGCAGAUUCUUGACUUACUCUCAGCUCAAUAGCAGCCUCUUUAUUUAUAGUGUAUCCUAAAUUAAGUGUUUCCAUAUUUUCAUGUCAAUGGUAAUCACAAGACACCCAUCUCUAUUUUAUAUCAAGACAGAACUAAAUUGAAUAAAUCUACUUUGAUACAAUGGCAAAAUUUCAAUGCUUAAAGUAGUUCUCAUCAGUUAUGCAGUAUCAGAAAACUUUUGAUGCAA